UGGGGAAUCUUGGACAAUGGGGGCAACCCUGAUCCAGCCAUGCCGCGUGAGUGAUGAAGGUCUUAGGAUUGUAAAGCGCUUUCAGCGGGGGAAGAUGAUGACGGUACCCGCAGAAGAAGCCCCGGCUAACUCCGUGCCAGCAGCCGCGGUAAUACGGAGGGGGCUAGCGUUGUUCGGAAUUACUGGGCGUAAAGGGCGUGUAGGCGGCCAAUUAAGUCAGAGGUGAAAUCCCCGAGCUCAACUUGGGAACUGCCUUUGAUACUGGUUGGCUAGAGUUCGGGAGAGGGUAGUGGAAUUCCCAGUGUAGAGGUGAAAUUCGUAGAUAUUGGGAAGAACACCAGUGGCGAAGGCGGCUACCUGGACCGAUACUGACGCUGAGGCGCGAAAGCGUGGGGAGCAAACAGGAUUAGAUACCCUGGUAGUCCACACCGUAAACGAUGAAUGCCAGUCGUCGGGUAGCAUGCUAUUCGGUGACACACCUAACGGAUUAAGCAUUCCGCCUGGGGAGUACGGUCGCAGAUUAAAA
rnacentral:rRNA from 1 species